AUGUUCAGACUAAUCUCCUUUUGAUAGGAAAUCCUUACAGUAUUUUGUGUGUAUUAUAAGCAUAAGGCAUUUCAUACUUUCAAGGUUGUUCCAGUCUUUGUCCUUUCACCCUCACGAGACUCCUUAAAAUUGAAUGUGGGAUUGAUCUUUAUUUUCUUCUUUUACUCUCAUUAGCGCCUCAGAUAAAAUGCUAAAUAAAACUCGGACUCUCUU
rnacentral:lncRNA from 1 species